rfam:Chloroflexi bacterium RBG_16_47_49 RBG_16_scaffold_16644, whole genome shotgun sequence.
GGGCGUGUAGCUCAAUGGUAGAGCAGUGGCCUUUUAAGCCAUUGGUUAAGGGUUCGAGCCCCUUCACGCUCA